AACGAACGGUGGCGGCGUGGAUAAGACAUGCAAGUCGAACGGGAUCUUCAAUGUAGCAAUACAGUGAAGGUUCAGUGGCGCAAGGGUGCGUAACACGUGGGCAAUCUGCCCGGAAGCGCGGGAUAGCUUGGCGAAAGUCAAAUUAAUACCGCAUGUGGCUACCAGGGGAGUCCCUGGGACGCUAAAGACGGCGCAAGCUGUCACUUCUGGAUGAGCCCGCGGCCUAUCAGCUAGUUGGUGAGGUAAUGGCUCACCAAGGCUAUGACGGGUAGCUGGUCUGAGAGGACGACCAGCCACACUGGAACUGAGACACGGUCCAGACACCUACGGGUGGCAGCAGUCGAGAAUUUUUCUCAAUGGGCGCAAGCCUGAAGGAGCGACGCCGCGUGGAGGAUGAAGGCCUUCGGGUUGUAAACUCCUGUCAUUUGGGAACAAACCUUUCAUUUAACUGGUGAAAGACUGAUAGUACCAGAAGAGGAAGAGACGGCUAACUCUGUGCCAGCAGCCGCCGUAAAAC
rnacentral:rRNA from 1 species